rnacentral:rRNA from 1 species
GAUAAACGCUGGCGGCGCACAUAAGACAUGCAAGUCGAACGGAAGUCGUUGUAAUGAUGUUGACAAGAACAGAGAACUUGUUCAAAGUGAUUGAAGAUUGACUUACAACAAUGGCUUUAGUGGCGGACUGGUGAGUAACACGUAAGCAACCUGCCUAUCAGAGGGGAACAACAGUUAGAAAUGACUGCUAAUACCGCAUAUGCCUAAGUAUCACAUGAUACAAUAGGGAAAGGAGCAAUCCGCUGAUAGAUGGGCUUGCGUCUGAUUAGAUAGUUGGUGGGGUAACGGCCUACCAAGUCGACGAUCAGUAGCCGGACUGAGAGUUGAACGGCCACAUUGGGACUGAGAUACGGCCCAGACUCCUACGGGAGGCAGCAGUCGGGAAUAUUGCGCAAUGGAGGAAACUCUGACGCAGUGACGCCGCGUGCAGGAAGAAGGUUUUCGGAUUGAAACUGCUUUAGACAGGGAAGAAAAAGACAG